rfam:Stegodyphus mimosarum contig108681, whole genome shotgun sequence.
GCCUUCGUGGUGUAAUGGCCAGCACACUCAACUCGUAUUCGAAAGGUCCGUGGUUCGAGUCCCGGCAAGGACA